ACUUUUUAGUUUAUUUGUGAUGUGUUGGUGUUUUGAGGUGUCUGUGGGGGUUGUCUACUUAAUUUGCUUUGGUUGGUGAUUGGUAAAUUAGGGUUAAGAUCUAGAGAGAGGUAGAAGAGAAGAGAGAUGUAGAGCUUUUGUUUUUUUCUUGUGCUUAUGAUAAUGACAUCAUUCUCAUGUUUUAGGCGGUGCUUUGGUCCCCACUUC